UACGUAGGGUCCAAGCGUUAUCCGGAAUCACUGGGCGUAAAGCGUGCGUAGGUGGAUGCUUAAGUGAGAUGUUAAAUCGUGUGGCUCAACCAUAUCGAUGCAUCUCAUACUGGGACGUCUAGAGGACGGCAGAGGCAAGUGGAACUCGUAGUGUAGCAGUGAAAUGCGUAGAUAUUACGAAGAACACCAAUGACGAAGGCAGCUUGCUGGCCACUCCUGACACUGAGGUACGAAAGCGUGGGGAGCGAACAGG
rnacentral:rRNA from 1 species